GACAUGGGUGGCAAACGUUAUCCGGAAUUAUUGGGCGUAAAGGGCGCGUAGGCGGCCGGGUAAGUGAGAUGCGAAAGCUCUGGGCUCAACCCAGGAAUUGCAUUUCAUACUGCUCGGCUAGAGAUUGGUAGAGGAUGGCGGAAUUCCAGGUGUAGCGGUGAAAUGCGUAGAUAUCUGGAGGAACACCUGUGGCGAAGGCGGCUAUCUGGUCCAAUUCCGACGCUGAGGCGCGAAAGGUAGGGGAGCAAACAGG
rnacentral:rRNA from 1 species